AUAUCAGUCAUGCAUAGCAUAUCAAUAAGCGGAGGAAAAGAAACUAACAAGGAUUCCCUUAGUAACGGCGAGUGAAGCGGGAAGAGCUCAAAUUUGAAAUCUUCAAGGUUCUACCUUGACGAAUUGUAGUUUAUAGAAGUGUUUUCUGUUAGUAGGGUGGCAAAAGUUCUUUGGAAUAGGACAUCAUAGAGGGUGAGAAUCCCGUAUUUGGUCAUUCUUUCUAGCUUUGUGAUACACUUUCAACGAGUCGGAUUGUUUGGGAACGCAGUCCAAAAUGGGUGGUAAAUUUCAUCUAAAGCUAAAUAUUGGCGAGAGACCGAUAGCGAACAAGUACCGUGAGGGAAAGAUGAAAAGAACUUUGAAAAGGGAGUUAAACAGUACGUGAAAUUGUCAAAAGGGAAGCGUUUGACACCAGUGUUGUUUUUCCGAAAAUCAAUUACGAAUGUUUUGUUUUUAAGAAGUUAUGACUUCAUCGGCUUGCUUCUUUCUUUACGAAACUUUCUUAAUGCACUUUUCGGUUAACAAGUCAACAUCAAUUUCUUUUGUUGUAAAAGGGUAUGAGGAAGGUGGCUUUCUUUUCGGAGAAAGUGUUUAUAGCCUUGUGCCUCUGCAAUCGGAGAGAUUGAGGUCUGCAGCGUAGAUCCUUCGGGGUUAGAUACGUUUGUGCUAAGUUAUAGCUUUUUCAUAGACAACAUUGUUGACUAUGAUUUAAUCAUUGUAGCUUACUCGCUUAUGCUAUUUUACCUACGCUUAGGAUGUUGAUCUCUCACAGUCGAGC
rnacentral:rRNA from 1 species